ACAAUGGGGGGUACGAGAGGGCCGCUACCACGCGAGUGGAUGCCAAUCCCUAAAACCCCUCUCAGUUCGGACUGGAGUCUGCAACCCGACUCCACGAAGCUGGAUUCGCUAGUAAUCGCGCAUCAGCCACGGCGCGGUGAAUACGUUCCCGGGCCUUGUACACACCGCCCGUCAAGCCAUGGGAGCCGGGGGUACCUGAAGUGCGUAACCGCGAGGAUCGCCCUAGGGUAAAACUGGUGACUGGGGCUAAGUCGUAACAAGGUAGC
rnacentral:rRNA from 1 species